GAUGAACGCUGGCGGCGUGCUUAACACAUGCAAGUCGAACGAAGCAGUUCUUUUGGAAGCGGAUUAGUUUACUAAGAAGUGGACAUGUGAAUUGACUGAGUGGCGGACGGGUGAGUAACGCGUGGGUAACCUGCCUCACACUGGGGGAUAACAGUUAGAAAUGACUGCUAAUACCGCAUAAGACCCCGGAAUCGCAUGAUUCUGAGGUAAAAACUCCGGUGGUGUGAGAUGGACCCGCGUCUGAUUAGUUAGUUGGUGAGGUAACGGCUCACCAAGACGUCGAUCAGUAGCCGGCCUGAGAGGGCGACCGGCCACAUUGGGACUGAGACACGGCCCAAACUCCUACGGGAGGCAGCAGUGGGGAAUAUUGCACAAUGGGGGAAACCCUGAUGCAGCGACGCCGCGUGAGUGAAGAAGUAUUUCGGUACGUAAAGCUCUAUCAGCAGGGAAGAAAAUGACGGUACCUGACUAAGAAGCCCCGGCUAACUACGUGCCAGCCGCCGCCGUAAAAC
rnacentral:rRNA from 1 species